CGUCUGUUUUUGAUCCAGGUCUGGGAUAGAAGAGCACUCUACCUAAAUUAUCAAUUCGACUCGUUUCAAAUACGACUCAAAUCAUUGGAUUCGAUUGCUCAUUCACGUUUAGCCUAUAAAAUGAGUUUAUAGAUUUGUUUAUUUGUACAAUUAGACCGCUUAGAGGGUAAAGUAAUAAUGGUUGUUUCUAUAGGUCUACCAUCACAACAACAUUGUUUAAAAAGUUACUCAAGUGUAUAAAGUUAUUAGGCCUAAACGUUUAGACUAUUCGUUUAACUGCAGACUAAUCAUUAUUAACCUGAAUAUAUGCAUAUAUUUUUUUUGAAUCAAUAGCAAGUUUCAGUAGAGAAAAAUAAUAGGCUAUUCAACGUGGCCAUGUAUUUUAACUGGACUACUUGGCUGCACAUUACCGUUUGUUAUGGACGAUAUACCCGUUAGUUGCAACGGGCCCCAUACACAGGCUAUGAGAAAAGAGCGCGAGAAUACGACGACAGAAGAUGCUCAGUGGGUACCAUGGUGAUGUCCAACAGCAAUAUCAGCCUGACCAUGACACCUUCUCAAUGUAUUGGUAUGGAUCCCCAGUGAGGGCCUCGCCUCCAGUGAGGUGCCCUCUCCCCAGGCCACAUGUCUGGGAUCUGAGAUGGAUCUGAUGAUCUAUGGAGAGGAGACCGUGGAGUAAAUACUGUAUGUACUGGAAUUUUGAUCUCAUGCCAUGGUAAAUUGACAUGAUCUAUCUUGACUAUGACUGCAUCCCAAUACUCCACACACAUGCAUUGGAUUGGUGCAAGAAAUGGUUUUCAAGGGAGUUUUCACCAUUGUUAAAUCCAUGACAGGGAGUGCAUAUGCACGAUUUUGGAGAAGGGUGGUAGAAGAAUCAGGAUGCAGCCUAAACCAGUUGAAUAGGGGUCACUGAGCAAUGUCUUUGACCUCUGACCUUCUCACCCCCCUCAGUAAAUGGUGACUGGGUGCCGCUCCUGUAUGCUGCGUCCCGGUGCUGGUACCACACUGAAGACACUACUGAGCCUCUGGUGUUUGCAGUUCCCAACACAACUUGUGGGACAACAGUAAUGUUAAAGCUAUGUAUGGAACUGUACACAACUUCCAUGCAGUAACAACUGCCAUUGAUGAUACUCACCUAAUUAUAACUGUGUCCUGUACAUUAUGAUUAGGGGUAAGUGGGUGAGCUGUUGGUACCUGCAAUUCCAGAGGGGAUUUUAUUAUGCUUUUUUGGUCAGUUUAUUUUAAAAUGUAUGCCUUUAUGUAAGGGUAUUGUUUUUCCUCUCCUAUAGAAUGGCAUGUAAACAGUACAGAUCUAAUCUAGGGGAAAGGACCUGUCUUUCUCAUGCCUGUUCCAAACCCCUUACCUACAACACCCUAAACACCCCCCACUAUGAGCCUGAUGCAUCUCCAGACUCUGUAUGUUUUGCCUCACAAGCCACAAACCAUUUCACACCCAUCCAUUCCCCAACCCCUCUCACCAUCCAACCCCCACUCCCAGUAGUACAACAUCGGAAGUUACCCGACACCCCAAAAAAUACCAGAGGUAAGGCUGUUGUUACCCCUUCUCCUCCCCAACCACUCAAAGCCACCAAGUCCCCAGCUAAGCCCC